GCCCUGGUUGCACAAUUGGUUAGUGCGUUGGACUUUUACGAACAUUCUUCGAAAUGGCCAUCCAAAGGUUGCGGGUUCGAGUCCCGCCUGGGGCG
rnacentral:tRNA from 1 species